rnacentral:misc_RNA from 1 species
GAAUUGCGAUAAGUAAUGUGAAUUGCAGAUACUCGUGAAUCAUUGAAUUUUUGAACGCACAUUGCGCCCUUGAGCAUUCUCAGGGGCAUGCCUGUUUGAGCGUCAUUUCCUUCUCAAAAGAUAAUUUAUUAUUUUUUGGUUGUGGGCGAUACUCAGGGUUAGCUUGAAAUUGGAGACUGUUUCAGUCUUUUUUAAUUCAACACUUAGCUUCUUUGGAGACGCUGUUCUCGCUGUGAUGUAUUUAUGGAUUUAUUCGUUUUACUUUACAAGGGAAAUGGUAACGUACCUUAGGCAAAGGGUUGCUUUUAAUAUUCAUCAAGUUUGACCUCAAAUCAGGUAGGAUUACCCGCUGAACUUAA